GGGGGAUUAGCUCAGUUGGCUAGAGCGCCUGCCUUGCACGCAGGAGGUCAUCGGUUCGACUCCGAUAUUCUCCA
rnacentral:tRNA from 13 species